rnacentral:rRNA from 1 species
UGGGGAAUUUUGGACAAUGGGCGCAAGCCUGACCCAGCAAUGCCGCGCGCAGGAUGAAGGCCUUCGGGUUGUAAACUGCUUUUGUACGGAGCGAAAAGGUCUGCCCUAAUACGGUGGGCUCAUAACGGUACCGUAAGAAUAAGCACCGGCUAACUACGUGCCAGCAGCCGCGGUAAUACGUAGGGUGCGAGCGUUAAUCGGAAUUACUGGGCGUAAAGCGUGCGCAGGCGGUUAUAUAAGACAGAUGUGAAAUCCCCGGGCUCAACCUGGGACCUGCAUUUGUGACUGUAUAGCUAGAGUACGGUAGAGGGGGAUGGAAUUCCGCGUGUAGCAGUGAAAUGCGUAGAUAUGCGGAGGAACACCGAUGGCGAAGGCAAUCCCCUGGACCUGUACUGACGCUCAUGCACGAAAGCGUGGGGAGCAAACA